rnacentral:lncRNA from 1 species
GAAUAAUUAACAGUAAGUAUGAGGACGGAAGGUGCAAGAAAAAUAUGCCCCGUUAAAGUUGAGUUUAGAGAGGCUAGCAACCGUCUGCAAUAAAUUUAACAUCAAGCCAUGAUAGGGGAGCAAAUAGACCUAUCAAGAGUGGUGUCAUUAAGAAACAAACCAAAAUACUCCCACCAUCCCACAAAGAUUGUUCGUUUAACCUUUAAAACUUAUUCCACAAAGAAUGUCCAUAUAAUUUUUAGACAAUCCAACAACAAACCAAAAUACUCCCACCAUCCCACAAAGAUUGUUCGUUUAACCUUUAAAACUUAUUCCACAAAGAAUGUCCAUAUAAUUUUCAGACAAUCCAACAAAGCCCCUCAUAAUACCUUCUGGCCCAAUUAACGAAUCGAUCAUUUACUUCCACCAUCGAUA